UUUUGUAUAAUCUGGUGCAUUUUUCACCUUUUGACCCACCUUAAUCCGGUUUUGCUGACGGUGGUUUUGGGGCGAAUAGCGCUACGUGGGAUGCUAGCGUGGCAGAUGGAAUCAAAGCCCACUUAACCCCCUCCCUUGAGUCGGCCCAGGCCAUCUCCCUUGCGACUCUCCAUCGUGUUCCUCGUCGUCUCUGUCUUCCUCGCGUCGCUUCCUCUAGUCCUCCCGGUGGAUCGAGCAAGGCGAUGAUCGCAGGCCACACAACUUGACCGGCGACCAUUACUUGAAGCAGGGACAUGGACCCACGAGAUUUCAUUGCUGUUAGGUUUCAUUUUGGGGGAAUAUUUGAUUUCGAUGGGAGUGUUGUGGGGGAGUUGAGGUAUCACACAUCGAGAGGGAUAAGGUAUCCUUGCCAGAACUGAGAGGGUUUUUGUGUGAUCAUGUUGCACUAACUGUCGAAGAUAAUGUUGAAUUUCACUGGUUAUUCCCUGGAGAUGAGCUGAGUAGUGGAUUGAGGAGGCUUGUAGAUGAUAAAGCCUGCCUCUACAUGUCUGAUUGCAUAUCAGAGGAUGGAGUAGCUGAAAUAUAUGUAGAGACAUUUAGACUUAAUGGAGGUGAUGGAGAGGUUCAGGGAGGGAGUCAAGGAAGGACUGUCCAAGAUCAGACUAGAAGGGACAUUGAGAAAGUCAGAGCAUUUUACAGUUCAUCUACAAAAGAGAAUGAGAAGAGAUUGUCCUUUUACUCCCCUCCUUCUGAAGAUGAUAAAGAUGGAGAAGGUGAAAUCCAUCAUGGAAGCUUCAAAAUAUCAAGGAGAUUGUGUUGCUUGAGAUGGGGGCAGAUGUGUCACUGUCCAAGAUAAAGAGAGCAAAAGCUAUUGCCAUGAGAAGGAUAUAUGACUCAUGCAAAGGAGAGUAUGCAAAGAUAUUUGGUUACCAAGCUGAAAUUCUUAGAAGCAACCCUGGGAGCACAUGUGCAGUAUGUUUAGAUGCUGACUUUGACUUCCCUGUAUUCCAAAGGUUUUAUGUAUGCUUUGAUGCUUGCAAAAAGGGAUUCCUAGCUGGUUGUAGGAGACUCAUUGGAGUUGAUGGGUGCUUCUUCAAGGGGCCUGCAAUGGUGAGCUUAUCUGUGCUCUAGGAAGGGAUGCCAACAAUCAGAUUUAUCCAAUAGCAUGGGCAGUAGUGGAGAAAGAAACUGAGAACUCUUGGUCUUGGUUCUUGGGACUUUUACAAAGGAUCUUCAGAUUCUAUUAGGUGGCAAGGACUGGGUUAUAAUAUCUGACCAGCAAAAGGGUCUUCUCAAUGCUCUUGCAAAAUUAUUCCCACAAAUUGAGCAUAGAAUGUGUACAAGACACAUUUAUGCCAAUUGGAGAAAGAAGCAUAGGGAUGAUGACUUUCAGAAACCCUUUUGGAUGUGUGCAAAGGCGUCAAGUGUGCCAUUUUUCAACUUUUGCAAUGCAAAGCUAGCCCAAUUAACUCCAACUGGUGCCAAGGACAUGAUGAACACUAACCCCAAGCAUUGGAGCAGAGCUUGGUUCAACCUUGGGUCAAACUGUGAUAGUGUAGAUAACAAUAUGUGUGAAAGUUUCAACAAUUGGAUAGUAGAUGUGAGUAUUAGAUAUGUAUAACCUGCGUGUAUAGUUUCCAUACAUACAUGAUUGUAUUGCUUGUACUCCAAGCCACAUUGGCUAUAUAUAUAUGAGGUCGCCCCCCC